GAGCUGUGGAUUUACAGCUGGACUUUCUUUUCCUUGAUGUGACUCUGCCCAAGCUGGUCUCUUGCUGAACUCCUGCAAGCUGAUUUAUCUUUCAAUGAUGGUGGAGCUGCUGCCUGCAGCAUCCACUGCUUUUCCAUCUCUUUUCUGUCCAUUCUGCAUCGGGUAUUUGGGGUGCAAAGUAUGGCUCACAAGUACUGCUUCUUCCAAACAGAAAGGGUUUGGAGAUGGAUGUGUUUUGGGCAUGUCAAGGAAUGAUGGGUGACGUGAGCACCCUCAUAUGCCCACGGCAGCUGCCCAGCUGGAUCACCACUGCUUUCUCCGGAAGAGGCCUUCACUAAUUCCUUCUGUGUUGCACUUCCUUAUCCUCUUAACACAGGGCAAGCCGAGGUGGAGAAGAAGAAACAUACCCUGGUGCAAGGGACUUUGUCCCCAGCCCUGUUAGGCAACUUGGUCACAGUCCUGGGAGCUGAGCCCAGACCUGGAAAUGCCUCUCAGCUGGCAUGGGGAGGUCACUGUGUGCUGCCUGGUGAAGCAUGCACCUCCCAAGGGUGUCCGAGCCAGCAGGAAGGAAGAGGAUGUACGGGGCAGGGCCAAGGACGUUUGGUGCCAGCUGUGAGGAAAUCAGUAAGGCCCGAUCGGCACUCCGAGAAUGGACCAGAGAUGUGCAUAGCUGUUAGCCCUACCUGGGGUCCUGUGGCGCAGAAGUUCCGGGGACUACAGGAGCACAGAGCAGGACUCUUUUGUGGCAGAGCUAGCACCUUGCAGAUGUCGGGGCCAGGAUUUCCCAGAGGAGCGGGCAAUGUUGGGCAAAGGAAGAGUGGGUGUAUUGGGGCAGACAGAUAAGGCUAGCUGCUCUGGCAGAAGCCUGAGGUGAGGAAGGACAAGAGGAGCAGCCGCAGGAUUAUCUGAGAGCCGGGGACAGGGCGUGUUCAGGGAGACUGUGGGGCAGGAUGGAGGAGCUGGUGAGGUUGGGCAAUACUGCCCUCAGUUGCGGUACAGCUCUCUUAUUAUUCCCAUAGACCUUGGUCUUGAACAAGCAUCAGUGCCCUGAAUUACUCUUUUAUGAGCACUUUCCACAGAUCGGAUGAUGGCUCUAGUAUCUCUCCUAGUUCUUCUAUUCUCUGCCCUAAACCUUCCUGGUUCCU
rnacentral:lncRNA from 1 species